rnacentral:lncRNA from 1 species
UGGUAUACGAGAUAUGGCUGAUAGAUCUGGAAGCCCCAACACCUCUCUGCUCUGCUCUCUGCUCUCCUCUGCUUCUGCUUCUGCUCUGCUUCUGCUCGCCGUCUUUCACCCACCGAGUCUCAGGUUCAUUCUGAGACCUUUCCCCCCAAGCCUUCCUUAAAUGCAUCUGACAGCUCCGUGGUGCUGGGCUGUGUCUUCUGUUCCCCGCGCCCCACCUGAGACUGAUGACAAAGUCUUUUGUCCAUGCCAUGCACAACUUUGUCGUCAUGGGGACCCAGUGAACUAUCUGGUGGCCACUAGAAACUUGGAGAGUUGGGAAGCCAGCGCAGGUGCUUGACGCAGCUCCAGCAAGGCUGAGCCGAAUGCUGUAGUAGCCGUCAUUCAUUCUCUCUCUCUCUCUCUCUCUCUCUCUCUCUCUCUCUCUCUCUCUCUCUCUCUCUCUCUUGGGGUUUGGUCUCUGUGUCUUUCAUUUUGGGGGACUUUCUGCAUUAUGAUUCAUUUUAUGUCUUUUCCUGAGAAAAUUGUGUCUGAUUCUUUUUAGGCAAAUUCUAAAGUUAACUUUAUCUGGCCACUAUUUGGAAGUCUUCCUUAUGCCCUGGAGAUCAUUGAGGACAGAUAAGCACAGAGCUAGAUGAGGCUCUUCCUCCAGGAAUCGUCUUGGGGUAUCUGCUCCUGAGCUAACUCAAACAGUAUAGAUGGUACAGGUAAACAGAGACAAUUAACACCCUCUGACUGGUCAGGGGAAGAGGUUACAGAUUCAAGGCUUCCCUUUACAAUAACAAUAUUUAGAACACCCUGGAAAUGUGCUUUAAAGAUGGAGGGGGGUGUCAAAUAGAGUACAUACCCCUGGAGGAAUAGAACUCAGUAAUUAAGAUGGAUUGACUAAAUUUUUCCCCUGCUUUAUAGCAUAGAUGAUGAAACAUAAUGUAAAAGGAAUUAGCUAUUAGUAUUUGCUAGUCAUAAAAAGAUAGUUUCUGUUUGUCUGGAGCGCUUUCAAACUGCAAACGCUGCCAGCCAAAAAGCAGGCUGUCCUCCAAUAAAUGUGUUUGGUUUGGAGGAGACAUUCUUUAGAUUCUUUACAUUGGAGUUAUAGGGCUGAUAAUAAAAAUAAAAUCUGUUUUGUUUGUAUUUCCUUAUUGUGAACCUUAUUGUGAACUUAUAAACCUGAAUAUGUAAUAAAAAAAAAUCAAAC